rnacentral:lncRNA from 1 species
UUUUUUCCUUUCUUUCUCCUCAUUUUUCCCUCUCUUUCUCUUCUUCCUCUCGCCCAUCACUCUACCCACACCUCCGGCACGGCACCAUCUCCCCUACUCCCCCAUCUUUCUCCAUUUUUUUUUUCUUUCUCAACCCAAACCCACUACACUACACCACCUAUUGCGCCAGUCACCGUGGACCAGUGGGCGACGCCACCUCCGACAGCCAACGACCACCUCCCAAUCCCAUCAUCUCAUCUCUCGUCUCAUCGCUUUUUCAUUUUUAUUUUAUUUUAUUUUGUUUUAUUUUCACAACAUACAGCAUCCAACAACCUUCCUUCAUCUCCAAAAAAAUGUGUAAGUUUAUUUAUGUAUAUUUUUUUUUUUUUGCUUUGAUUUCAAUAAUAAUUGUUAGUAAGAUUUGGGAUUGUUAAUUAACAUUAAACUUGGAUCCAUUUGUUAUUGGUGAAAUUUCUUGGAUAAUAUUUAAUAUGAUAAUAUUGUGGUAUAUUUUUGUUACAUUCAGACUUUAUAUAUUAAAUUGCGGCUUAAUUUAUUAAAUUAGGUUUGGAUGAUGAGAUAUUAAAUUUUUACAUUUAAUUGAAUUUAUUUUAUUUUAUUACAUUUUGAGCUUGAUUGAUUAUGUUUGUAUUGACUAUUAAGUUAGAAUUUUGAACUAAGGCUUAUAACAUAUAAGAUAUUUUUUUUGGGCUUUAUUUAUUAAUUUAGGCCCAAUUUUAUUGAUAAAAUUUAUUGGGCUAAUUUGAGAUUGCUUUUGGGCUUAUUAAAAAACUUUGUACAUUUUUAAAAAUUUAUUUUGGUCUGAUUUUUGUUUUGUUGUGCCCAUUCCUCAAUUUAUUUGUUUAAUAAAAAUUGUUAAGAAAAUUGAUUUUUUUUUAAAAUAAAAUUGUCCACAAGGUUAAUUUUUAAUAAAAUUGUUAAAAAAUGAUUUUAAAUAAAUCCUCUUUCCUUAAUUAGAAUGAGAUUAAAAGUAAUUUUUCUUAAUUGGGGUUUUAAAUAAUUUUUUUAAUGAGAAUAGGAUCAGGGUCAUUUUCGUAAAUAAAGUUUGUAAAGAAAUUAAUUCCUUUGUAACUAAAAUCAAAUUGAAAUACUUUUCUAAAUAAAGUUGUAAAAAUCCAUUCUUUUUUUUAGUAAAAGCAGGUAAAAAUUAUUUUUAUUGUCAAAUUAAUUUUUUUUUUAAAUUCUUUUAAUAAUAGUAAGUGUAAAUAACUUUCUUAAAAUAAGAAUUAAAUCAAAUCACUUCUUGAAAAUAAAUUAAAGCCUUUUUGGUAAAUAAAUAAAUUAAAAUCACUAAUUUGAAAUUAUUUUUAAUGGACUCCUUCAGAAUUUCUAGAAAAACCAAAUUUUGAAAUAUCAAUUUUUAAAUUAGUUUAAUAAAUUAAUUUGUUUAAUUCUCAUGUCAUUUGUUUUGUACAUUCUUAUGAUAUGACUUUGUCAUUAUGUUUAUGUAUAUUUAUUUGUGUGUCCUUAAUCUUGGUAUUCAUAAUUAAUUAAUUAAUUAAUUAUCAUAAUUUCCUCGAUUCGUUUAAUAGACACGGUAGGUAUAUGAGUUUAGAGGUAUGUUAUGACUUAUCAUCGUAUCUUCUCAAUAGGUAACUUGACCCUGAAGGUAAACUUAGUUUUUGUAGAUAUGUCUUUUCCAAAUAAGGAAUCAUAUAAAGUUUUCUUUCUUAUUUUAUCUUUUUUUAAAAAAAUAAAUUAAAAUAAGUGGCAAAUCCAAUUCUUUUAUAAAAAAAAAUAAAAAAUUUCACAAAUAAAAAGUAAGUCUUACAGUUGGAGUGGGGACACAUGUGGAGGAGUGGGGACACAUGUGGAAAACACGGUUUAUAGUAAAUUUGAAAAGACAAUCUCCAAAGUUGGCUUUACCAUUAUUAUUAUUUUUUUUUUAUUUUAUCAAAGAUAAGUUGAAAAAAUAUAUUUUAUAAAUAUAAUAAAUUUAUAGGGUGCUAAUGGAUGAAAUAGUCAAGUGUAUUUACAACAAAUCUCAAGAGGUCCAAAAUAUGUUUUUUUUUAAAUAAAUGAAAAAAAUGAAUGAAAAUUAAAUAAAAUAUAAAAUAUAAACCCUUCAUCAUUGAUACAAAGGACAAAAAUUUAGAAGAAAAAUGUUUCAUCAUUACCUUCUCUAAUUAAAAAAAAAAACCUAUAUUUGUUUUAACCAUAAUAAUCAAAGAAAAAAAAGGUAAAAAAAGAAAAUGGAAGGUGAAAAAUGAAAGUUUCCGGUCAAAAUAUAUAUAUAUAUAUAUAUAUAUAUAUAUAUAUAUAUAUAUAUAUAUAUAUAUAUAUAUAUAUAUUCUAAAUUUUCAAUCUAAACUUGUGUUAAAAAUAUUUGUCAAAAAGUAGUGUGUCCAUACAACAUCAAGUUUCACUUUGUUAUUAUUAUUAUUUGUUUUAAAACCAUAAUUAUUAAAUGUGAUUUUAGUUUUAAAACUAUAUUAAUGAGGGUAAAACCAAUAUUGGUAACUAUGGUUUUAAAUUUAAACCUAAAACCAUAAUUGAUAACCGUAAUUUUUUAUAUUAAACAAAAAAAGUUAAGUGAAUGUGUAGACCCGGGAGGAGUUUUUGGGGAUUUUCUACAUGAUUAUUCUUCUGACCACCCCGGGAAUUAAGUUGAUGGGGGCGGCGAGAUUGGACAGGAAACAGAGAGUAGGUAUGAGCUUGUAGAGGAAGUUUUCGGAGGAGGGGGACUGCUGUUCGCCGGAGAUGGGAGCAAAAGGGUAAAAGGAAAAGAAAGAAAAAAAGAGCAGAGAGAUGCAGGGAGAGGAAAAAGAAAGGGGGGAAUGCAGGGAAAGGGAGCGAGAAGAAAGGGGGCCUCCAGAAUUUUUCCCGAGUAAGCUUUUCCAUUAUGUUUUUCUUUCUUUCUUUGUUUCUCUUCGUAUAUUAUUAUUGAGAUGCAUUGUUGUUGAUUUCUGGAUGGGUUAUCCUCUGUCCCUCCUGGCCGGCUGUUCCUCUUUUGCUUAUGUGUAUGUUUGAAGAUUGAUUUAAUUCCGUUUUACCUUCUCUGGGAUAUUUUCAAAGAAAAGAGACUUUCUGACUCACUCUUCUUCAAGCCCACUAACUAAGAGAGGAAACAUAGUUCUUAAUGUUUCCUUUAUUUCUCUCCUUCCAUUGCUCUGUUUUUGCUGCUAUUCUCUCUGUUUUUCUUGCUUGGUUUUUCCCGAAUGUGAAGCCGUAAAGGGGAAUGGGUCUAUGGGAUAUUAUCACGCAACUCAACCCUCACCAGUCACCAUUCUCCCUUUACUGCAUCUUCUUCUCGAUCCCCCCAUUUCCCCCGCUUUCUACUCUAUAGAUCAAAACUACGACUACGGCAAAUUAUAGAAGCGGAUGCUGUGUUGAAAGCCCAUCUCUAUGACUGAAGCUGCUGCCGGUGGCGCUACUACUAUCCAUGACCUACCGGAUGUGAUUUUGUCGAGCAUAUUGGCGAGCGUGACCGGCACCAAGGCAAGGAACGCCGCGGCGCUGGUUGGCUGGAAAUGAUUGGUGUCGGAGAGGGGCACGCGGACCUCCCUCACCCUCCGUGGCAACGCCGUUCACAGCAAUCUGUACAGGAUCCCGACUAACUUUCAGGCCGUGACUCACCUUGACUUCUAGCUCAUCUUCUUUGCCAUGCCUUUCUGAUGGUGACCCCGCUCACUGUCCAUGCUCGCACUCCGGCCACUCUCCAACUCCUGGCUCCCCAAUGGCUCAAUCUCACCCACAGCAGCCAUUUCGUCCAUCAAACAGUCACUCCCAGAGAUGAAGCCUGCCACUCAUCACCAUUGCCGCCUUCCUCUUCAUCAAGAUCUCCGUCCAGCGCUGGAGACGACGGUGAGACCAGCAGCGCCGGCCAUGGCAGCGGCGGUGCGAGCGCCAGCAGAAACAGCAACUGUUGGUUUUUAAACCAGAUAAUUAAAAGAAAAACGGAAGCCAAAAAAAUUUUCUCAAAUUUUUUUUUUUCUCAAUGAUCAAUACUUGUAUUAAUUUAAUGAAAUAACAAAUAUAGGUAAUUUAGAAUUGUACCUUGCGAUUAGGCUGAUAAAUUUGAACUCCACCAAAAGGAUCUUAGAAUUCCAAAUCCUCUAAAGCACCAUGGAUCUUUCUCUAACGUUCUCCAAAAAAUGAUGAACUCAAAACGAGUGGGCGUUUUUCAUUCUUGGGUUAUUUUUUUUUUAUCACACAACUUAAUAUAUAUUGAAAACUUGUAUUCUUAUCCCAUCAUCCGAGAAACAUUGAGAAAAAAAAAACUUUUUAAUACCACGAAAUAACUGACAUAUUUUGAAUUUUGAAAAACAUGGGAGAGAAUAUCUCUCCCCAUGAUCCCCACUUAAAAAGUGUUUCUUAGGGAAUACAAGUAAGUGUGGUCUUCACCACAUUGUAUCAAAAAAUAUUUUAAAUAAUCAUAUUAUAAAAUAAAUAAAUCAAAUCAAGAUUGUGUGAAAUUAAUUUAGAAUUCAAAAUUCCAAACUAAUAAAAUCAACCCAACAUAAAAAAAAUGUUCAUAUAAUUUUAAUGGAGCCGUUGAGAGGAACUAUGGACAUUAUAAUUUUAAGCUCCAAUAACUUUGACAAUUAAUUAACAACUUAAUUAAAAAAUCAAAAUUAUUAAUUCCAAAAUUACUCCACUAAAAAUUUGGAAUUGCACUCUUAAAAUUAUAAAAUUAAAUAUAUUCAAAGGAUUUGAAUUGCCCAUUGAUAUAGUCACUACAUACGAGUCAAUCCUCCAUAAACGGUUCAUAAUUAAAGCUAGGUUUUUCCGUUAACCUCUUUAAUUAUAUCUUUCUCCUUAAGUGUCAUUGGUUCUCUAAUGAAUAAUAUAUUUAUGGUCUAAUCAUAAAUUGAGCGCUCUUAUCAUUCAAGGCCCGAACCAAUACUUAUGGGAACCGUCCAUCUGACUUCUUAACGAAGGAAUGGAUUUCAUCUUGUAUAUUAAUAUUCCCGGCUAUUUAUUUUAUUAUACUUCCAAUACACCAAGAAUUUGACACUAUGUAUUUGUGUCAUUACCCGGUAUGUAAAAAAAUACAAUAGAAUAAAUAGGAGUCUAUUAAUCACUCAGAAUUAAGAUCAAUGCAUAUAUGACCAUCAUUGAUUAAUAUUGAAUGCUCUAUAUUAUAACGGAAUUUAUCAGAGAUUCAUAAUUAAUCGUGUUCCAGUCCUAUAUAAUCAAAUUAUAUAAAGCGCUUUCAUUCCAAUAAUCUCAUUAUUAACAAUCCGGAUAAGAUCAUUUCAUUCAGAAUGUAAUGAACCGCGCUAGUAAUUUUAAAUUAAAGAUCCCAACUUUAAUUUUUAAUUACGAAUAUAUUAGAUUAUUUUACUUUAAAUAUUAUCCUCUUGUAUAUAACACUUAUAUACAAUAUUUAAAGUUACAAUUAAAUAAUCUAGGGUUUUCGAUAUUCAUAAAGCAUCUAUAACAUGCAUGCAACAAUAAUAUUGAAAUAAUUCCUAAAAAAAAUAUUAAUAAUCAGCAAAAUAAAAAACAUCUCAUUUGUUUAUGGGCACAUAUUCCAACAGCAACCCCCACCUCUAUUCCUUCAUACCAUCAUGGCCAUCAUUGACAUGAAGGCCCUAUCCUCCCCCCCCCCCCCCCCCCCCCCCCGUGGGCUUGCUAUCAGUUGGCCACCCUUUUUGUUCUUUUAAAAAUAAGGUGGCAGCACCUCUAGAUCUUCAUGGUGGAUGUUUGGCUGGUGGGCUUUGUUGGUGGGCUCCCAAAGCCCAGGUUGUAUGUUAAGAUUAGUUCACAUGGGCCUUAAGCCCCAUCCCCCAAGUUCGGGCCAAGUAUACAGCCCUCUCGAGUCUUUUCUUUUAAUGUUAUAAAUAUGUUUUUCCUAUGAAGAUUUUAAAAUCAGCUGUACAAAACAUCAUUUUCGAAAUAACUUCCUAAAAUUUAAUUUUAAAUUCAGUUUGCAAAAUUUUGAUUCUUGAAAAUUCAAUCCCGAAAAUUCCCCUAUGCAAUUAUACUCGUUUAAAUAUUAGGAUUAUUAAUUAUUAUUAUUUUAUAUGUAUCGAUUUAUCAUCUUUUAAAAAUCUCAUUCAUUAAAGUCUAAUCCUUCAAAAAUUCUAUGUUUUAAUUUAAAUUUUCAAUUCUAAAAAUUUCACAAUUUGUUUAAAUCCCAUUUUCAUCAACUAGAAUUAUCCUCCUAUAUUUAUCUAUUUAAAUUCUAAUCCUUCAAAAAUUCCAUGUUUUGAUUUAAUCUUUUAAUCCUAAAAAUUCUACAAUUAAUUUAAACCUUACUUUCAUCAAUUAGAAUUACCCUCCCAUAUUUACUUAGUUAUUUAAGGUCUAAUAUUUCAAAAAUCCCAUAUUUUAAUUUAAUUAUUCAAAUAUUCGUUUAAAUCUCAUUUUCAUUAAAUAGAAUCAAUAUCUCAUAUUUAUCUAGUCUAAUAUUUCAAAAAUCCCAUGUUUUAAUUUAAUUCUUCAAAUAUUCGUUUAAAUCUCAUUUUCAUUAAAUAGAAUCAAUAUCUCACAUUUAUCUAGUCUAAUAUUUCAAAAAUCCCCUGUUUUAAUUUAAUUAUUCAAAUAUUCGUUUAAAUCUUAUUUUCAUCAAUUAGAAUCAUUAUCUCGUGUUUAUUUAGCUAUUCAAAGUCUAACCUUUUCAAAAAUCCCUUGUCUCAAUCUAAUGUUUCUAUAAUUCAUUUUGAAUCUUAUUUUCAUCGAUUAGAAUUAUUAUCACGCACUUAUACACUUAUUUAAAGUCCAAUAUUUCAAAAACCCCAUGUCCUAAUUUAAUUUUUCAAUCCUAGAAAUUCCAUUAUUCGUCCAAAUUUUAUUUUUGUUAAUUAGAAUUCUUAUUCCAUAUCUAUUUAUUUAUUUAAGGCCCAAUUCUCCAAAAAUCCAACUUCUGAAUUAAAUUUUCAAUCCAAAAAAUCCUACUAUUCAUCUUUAUUCGCCUAAAUAUUAUUCUUGUUAAUUAGUGUUAUAAUCCCAUACUUAUCUAUUUAUUCAAAGCCUAAUCCGUCGAAAAUCCAACGCCCUAAUUUGAUUUUCAAUUAAAAAGAUUCCGCUAUUCAUUUAUUCGUAUAAACAUUAUUUUUGUUAAUUAGCAUCAUUAUUCCAUACAUAUUUAUUUAUUUAUUCAUUUCAAUCAUUAAAAUUCAAUUCUUCAAAAUCGGAUUUCCAAAUUUAAUCUUUAGACUAAAAAAUUUCACUAUUCACUUUUAUUCAUUCAAAUAUCAUUUUUGUUAUCAUUAUUAUAAAUUCCACGUUUACUUAUUUCUUUCUUCUAAAAAUUCCAAUAAUUAAAGUUCAAUUAUUCAAAGAUUCGACUUUCAAACUUAAUUUUCAAAAUCCCACUAUUCACUUUCAUCCGUUCCAACAUCAUUUUUGUCGAAAUUCGCAUUUCAAAUUAAUUUUUAAUCUCACAAAUCUCACUAUUCACUUUCAUCCGUCCAAAUAUCGUUUUGAUUAAUUAAUAACAUUGUUCCAUAUUUACCUAUUUAUUUCUCUUAAAAAUCUCAAUCAUUAAGGUCUAAUUCUUCAAAAUUUCGAUUUUUAAAUUUAGCUAUUUGAAACUCCAAUUGUCCAAUCUCCGAACUUAAUUUUCAGUUUCCCAUGCUCCAAUUCCCGUAUUUAUCCCGCUACUUAUUAUUAUCAUUAUCAUUAUCAUCUUAUUCAUUAUUUCUAUAAAUUCUGCAUUCGAAUGAUUUCUAAGAUUUCCAAUUUUUACACAUCAACUUUCAUAAUUUCUAUUUCUCAAAUAACUUACGAUUCUGAUCUCUUUCAAAAUUCAACUCCCAAAGUCUCAAUUUUCGCAACUUAAUCUUUCUUUAAAAUCCCGAACCCUCAAAUCAUCUUCAAAAUUCCAACCUCUUUCAAAUUCAGUUCCUAAAAAUUCUCAUUCUCACAUUCAAUCUCUAAAAGUCUAAUCUCCAAAUAAACUCUAAAACUCCAAUUUUCUAGUGAACUUCGAGAUUCCAAUUUUUCAAUUAAAUUUCAAAAAAUCUGAUUUUCUCUUAAAUAGCUUAAUUCCAUUCUGGUCUUCAAAACAAUCUUCUGCUCCUCUGUUUUAAAAAAUGUUUUGAAAUAAACAAAUAAUCAAAUUUUGUAAUUCUGAAUAAUGGAAUUUACGGAUUUGGUCCAUUUGAUAAAUGGGUAUUGGUGGGAGCCCAACAUAUGCGACUUUAUAACUGAUUGAUUUAGUUGUCAUGCAUGAUUGUUUCUAUUCUGUCCUAUGACAUGCUUGAAAUCAUUCUUUAAUUGUGCACUAACCUCACUUUUUGAUAAGCGCAUUGUGGCUCGUCACUCAGGUACGUAUCUAUUCCCAUUCCGGUAUUUCCAUAUACAUGUUUUGAUUCUCCUAUGUGCAUGAUAAUUCCGGGUAUUCAUUGUUUUCCUCAUCAAUUGCCAUGAUUGCUUUAUUUUAUUAGUAGAGACCCGACUUUAGGGGCUUAGAGGGGUGCUACGGUCUUUACCAUACCUUCCUGAUGAGUAACUUGACCCCCGAACCCGAUCCAGUUUUUCAUAGACCACCUUUUCCAAAAUAAGGAGUCACACUUAGGGUUUUUCUUUCUUAUUUUGUUUACCCUUUAAAAAUAAAACAAAAAUAAGUGGCGACUCCAAGUCAUUUUUAAUCAAUAAAUCAAUUUUUUAAAUAAAAAUCGAGCUCGUCAUCAAGUGGGAAACGCAUGAGCCGAAAUGCGGGGUCCACAGAAUGAUUACGUUAUUACAAAGGUUAGAUUGGUAAAUAUUUUGGGAGAAAAUCUAUUUUCAUUAUUUUUUUUUUCAAAAGCACUUGAGAAAUGAUGUAAGUAUAUUAAUUUCAUACGUGCACUUAGUUAUUUUUUAAAAUUUAUAAAAAUAUUAAGGUAAGGAUAUUUUAGUUAUUAUGCUUUAAAAAUAGUAAUUAUGCUUCCUAUAUAAAAUAAAAUAUAUUUUAAUCUUUUUAUUUUGAAAAGAAACAAUGGUGUUGUUUUUCAAAUAUUUCAAUUCUAUUACACCUUCUCCCAACUUUUCCAAAAAUACAUACAUAGAAGAUAGAAAGAGUUUUUAUCUCAUAUAUUUAAAACAUUUAAAUUAGGAAGGUUUUUUAGAUAGGAAAUAAAAUCAUAUUAGGUGAUGAAUAAGUGAAUAUAAAUUGCUUUUUUUUUCAUACGUAGAAUAGGCUGUUAUUGUCUAGUUUUUCUGUUGGUUAGAAGACAGCUAGGUCGACAGUCAGCAAGAGAAGCCCGUGGACACCAAUAUUUUUAAUCUAUAUUUAAUAUAUAUAUAUAUAUAUAUAUAUAUAUUAUUUUUUUUGAAAAUAAUUUCUCCACAAUUAAAUAUUAUAUAUGUUUUUAAAUAUUAGUUCAUUUAAAUUUAAACUUGUCCUCAUUUCUUUUGAUGAUAUCAAAUAUAAAAGAUAAAAUAUUAUUAAAAUUUUGAAUUAUAUUUAUAUUUUUUAGUUUUUUAUAAUUAAUUAAUUUAAUUUUAUAUUUAUAACGUUACUAAUUUGACCAUGGUUCAAUUAUCAGCUCUGAUCAAUAAAUCGUAAAUUGGUAACUUUUUUUAUUCAAUGACCAGAUUAUAAAAACAUUGAUUUGAUGUAUAAAACAAUUUUAAUAUUUAAAGUAAAAAUUAAAUAAUAUGUUUUAAGUUAAUAACAUAAUUAAAAAUAACUUAACUUACAGUUAACUUAAGUCAUUAAAUAAUAAGUAUUAAGUUUUACUAGUGGUUAUCUAAAAUUUUAAAAGUGGUUUUAAGAAUUUGUCAAAUACCUAAUUUUUCUCAUAAAACACUUUCAUAUAUCACAUACGAGACACUUUUAACUUUCUCAAAAUCAUUCUCCUGACAUACUUAUAUAAAAUUUUACAAAGAUUUUUUGGUACAUAUUUUUUGUAAUUUGUCAUUGUUUACAUUGGGUUGACUCAUCUAAGUCUUCUGCUUGGUCUUUUAGGUAAACAUGGCAUAGCUUGGAAAAUUAUAUGAAUGAAUCCAUCAUUUAUCUCAACAUCAAUAUUUUUUUCUUCAAAUUAUUUGAUAGGAAACCUUGGAAAAUAUUGCCUUGAAAAAUAUGGUUGCAUUCCCAUUUUUUCCACGAUAGUAGAGGUCUCAUAUUUUGGCUAUGAACCUUUUGGAAAAUCCAUUAUUAAAAGUAAACAACACAUAACUUAAUUGAGUCAUUAAAUUAUUUAAAAAUAGUUUUUCAAAGGUUCUUCGAAAACUUCACAUUUUCAUUUUGAUUUAUAAUGUCUAAAAAUCUUAUAUUACACUAUAAAUUCUUUUAAAAAUAUGCUAUUAGGAGUAAAAGAAACAAGAACCUUAUAUUAGUAUUGUAGAAAACAAAAAUUUAAAAGAAAAAGUUUCUAUCUUUACCUUUUGAAAUUAGAGAAACUAUAUUUGUUUUAAUUAUAAGAAAUGAUGGAAAAAUAGUCUGAUUGAAAAAAAAAAAAAAAAGAGGUAAAAGAGAAAAAUGUUUGUUUUAAAACAUAAUUUUUAAAUAUAAACAUUAAAAUAUCAAAUGUAUUAUCAUUAAUAUUUGAAAUUAUCAAAAUUUGUGAGGUAAUAAUUUCAUUUUGUUCUCCAUUAUGUAUUUAUGUUUGUAUUAAAUUUAUAUAUAUAUAUAUAUAUAUAUUAUCAUUUUGUGUUUAAUGGUACAAUAUUUUUAUUUUUUGUCUAUUAUGUAUUUAUGUUUAUAUUAAAUUUGUUUUAUUAAUUAUCUUUUAUAUAUAACCAUUUUUUAUUUAAUGUGUUUAAAAAAAAUUAAAAUUUAAAAGAUGUAAUGAGAGAAAGUGUAGCGAGAAUUAAAUAAAUAAAUAAGUGUCAAAAACUUAGAUAAGGUAACAUGGAGGAGAAAAGAGAAAAAAAUUGACUUAAUUGUGUCAAAAACCUGUAAAGGUUUUUGUGUGAAUCUCAUUCUUUUUAUUCCAUUUCUUCUAUCAUCUCUUAUAAUUUCCUUUUUCAUGUAAGCACAGUAAAAGUUUACCAAAGUUGCGAUUAAUUGAAAAAUAUUGCCAGUUCACAUUUUGAUUCAUUCAUGAUGUUUAAAUGUUUUGCAUGUAUUUGGGUUCUAGCCCUUCCAAAAAUCCACUAAUUUUUGUGCUUUGGAAAAUCCUCACCUAAUUCAUAUUUUUUGUGUUCUCAUUCUUCAUUAAGUUAGAAGACAAUCUUAGUGAGUGUCAAUGUUCACAUUACUUUUAUUGUAAUCCACUUGAGUGGAAACAAGGAAAUUUCAUUCAUGGUGGUCUUCCCACUAAAUUAAGGUGAUUGAGAUUUGUUUCGAUGGGUCAAUAUCAUGAAUUAUGUGAACACCAAUAUUAGAGGUUGUAGUAGUAGACUAAAAAAGUGUUGCCUAACUUAGGGUGUUUUCCGGAAAAGAGCCUCUUAGACACCAAUAUUCGAAAGCACUUAUCUUGAUUAUGGGGGUAAAAAAUGAAGCAGUUUUUGCUUUAGCUUAUGUUUGGUUCUUGGAAAACACUAAGGAAAGAAAAAAAAUGUAAAAGAAAAUGAUUUUUUUCAUGUUUAAUUAUCUUAUGAAAAAUAUCAAAGAAAACCAAAUAUAAUUAUAACUAGUUAGAAAUUUAUAUAUAUUUAAAUUAUUUAAUCUUUAUAUUAAUGAGUUAAAAUAAGUAAAAUGAGUUUAAAAUAACAAAUAAAAAUAAUUUAUAGACUCUUAAUCUAUUUUUUAUUUUCCUUUACUUUUUAUUUCCUUCUACUUUUCCUUUGUAUUUUUUUUCCCUUGCAUUUUUCCUUAAAUUUUUUGAGAACCAAACAUAGCCUUAGGAAACAAAAGAAGUAGUCCAAAAGUAUUUUGUAUAUGAAUAUAAGGUAAAUUCCUAUCUUAUGUACAAUUUAUAUUUUUAAAAAUAAAAAAUGGAAAAUAUAUGUACAAACAACCUUAAUAAUUAUCAUAAAUAUUUUAUUUGAACUUCAAUUUUUCUUUUCAUUUUUCAUUUUAUGAUUUAAAAGUUUUAUUUUUUCUAAAAUUUCAUUCAACUUUUAUAAUUUGCUAUUGUUCGCUUUUGUUUUUGUCAAGUCUUUGUCUAGUUUUUCAAAGAUUCUUGGAAAAUUUUAUCUCAUUCUCAUUUUGAGCAUGUUGUUUUGUUUUAGUCACGUCUUUAUCUAGUUUUAUAAUGAGUCCACAAAUCCAUAUUGCGUAAAUCAUACGUAAUUUAAUUUUUUUUUGACUCAUUAUGAAUAUUUUAUUUAACUUUUAAAUUUUCUUUUAAUGAUCAUUUGCGUUUGUGAAGGGUCAUUCUUUUCAUUUUGUUUGACUUCUCAAAUCUCAUUUUCAUGUGAAACUUUGUAGGGUUUUCCAAAGGCCCUUGGAAAAUAUUGCCUUAUUCAUUAUGAAAUCUUCCAAAAAUCCAUGACGGGCAAUAAAUAAGGUAUAAGCUUAAUUGAGUGAUUACAUUAUUUAGAACUUAUAUAGGAUUGAUUUUAGGUAAAGCAUUCUUAAUUUGUAGUAGUCUUUGUAAUUAGUGUUUUUAUUAGAAAAACUUUUUAAGAAAAAUCAAUUAGUGCUUAGAUAUAAUAACAAAAAUAUAUAUAUAUAUAUUUUUAUAGUAUUUUUAGUAAUGUGUUAUAUAUAACAAAAAAAAAAAAAAACAUAAAAUCUCCUAACAUGUGAUCAUCCAUGAAUCACUUUAGAUGAUUAACUAAAAUUUUAAAAUAACUUUAUGAUUAUCAUUCUUUAAUUUCGGUUGACUCUUCUAAGUCUACUUAUUGGUCUUUUAUGUAAAUAUGCUAUAGUUUGGAAAAUUCUAUCCAUCAUUAAUCAACAUCAAUCGUUGUUUUCUUUAAAUGAUUUGAUGGGAAAGCCUACCUCACAUGGAAUAUGGAGUGCCUUUGUUUAAUGGAUUUCAAUUGCAUGCUCCUGGAAAUUAUGCCCUAAUCCAUAUUUUUUUUGCGUUGAUAUGGUGAGCUGUUGAAGAUGUAUUUCAUUUUCUUGAAAAGAAAUAAUUAGUGCAUACACAUUUUGAAAUAUUAAAUUAAAGAGGAAAAUGACACCAUACUCCCAUAAAAUUCAAUAUAUUUGUUUAUUUGUUAAAUAAGUAAAUAAUUAAUUAAUCAAAGACUUUAAAGGAAAUAUUUGUGUGAACUAAAAAUAUAUAUAUUUAAAUUAUAAAGGAUUUAGAUAGGAAAGAAAAAGAGGUUUUAAAUGUAUAAACUUGCAUGCAACAAAGGGAAUUUGCUGUCAUUGUCUACUGCCUUCUUUGUUACGUUAGAAGAGAGGCAGCUGGGUGAUGAGCAUUUGUGUUCACAUUUACUUUUAUUGCAUGCAGUCCACACUUAAUUGUACACAAGAAAUUAAUUCAUGGACCACGAGGACAUUAAUAUUAAUAUUAAAGACUUGAGUUGAGCAGUGGACUGACUUGACUUGGGGUGUGCUUCCGGGAAGAGUCUUUCUUAGUCUUAGGCACCAACUAAUAUUUAUAUUUAUAUUUGCAUUAUAAAAGUGUGAGGUAAGGUUUAAUUAAUUGCAGUGAAUUAAAGAUGGUGUCCUCCAUUAGAAUUUCUAGAGCAGUGGUGCUAGUUACCAUUACCAGUACCAUGAUGAUAAUGUCAUUCUCCUCCCUUGCCAAUGCAAUAUCAUCACCAUCAUCAUCAACUGAUGAGGGAGAGGCUCUGCGCAGCACCGGUUGGUGGAAUUCUACUUCUGCUCAUUGCACCUGGGAUGGUGUACGUUGCAAUAAGGCUGGAAGCGUCACUCUCAUAGAGCUUUCCUAUCUAGGAAAAAAAUUGGGUGAGCUUAGCAAAUUGAAGUUCUCUUCAUUUCCCAGCCUGGUUGAGCUCUUCCUUUCUGACUGGAGACUCAAUGGUAGAAUCCCUCACCAAAUAGGUACUCUUACUCAACUCACCUCCCUACAUCUCUCUUCAAACAAUCUUACAGGUGAGCUACCUCUUUCCUUGGCUAACCUCACUCAGUUGGAGUCCCUCGUCCUUUAUUCUAAUCGACUACAUGGUUUGAUUCUUCCUGAAAUUGGGAAAAUAAAGAAUCUGACUUUUUUGGAUUUGGGCAAUAACAAUCUUACUGGUAUCAUCCCUUCAUCUUUUGGUAAUCUUACCAAUUUGACUUUUCUUUAUCUUGAUGGUAAUCAAGUAAGUGGUUUUAUCCCUCCUCAAAUUGGGAAAAUGAAGAAUAUGAGGUUGCUCUAUCUUUCUUCUAACGGACUACAUGGUCCAAUUCCUCCUCAAAUUGGGAAAUUGAAGAAUCUGAGGUUGCUCUAUCUUUCUUCUAACGGACUACAUGGUCCAAUUCCUCCUCAAAUUGGGAAAUUGAAGAAUUUGGAGGUGCUUUAUCUUUCUUAUAACAGACUACAUGGUCCAAUUCCUCUUGAAAUUGGGAAAUUGAAGAAUUUGAAUAUUUUGAAUCUGAGUUAUAACAUCCUUAUUGGUGUCAUCCCUUCAUCUUUUGGUAAUCUUACCAAUUUGACUUCUCUUACUCUUAGGGGGUGUUUGGUAUGUCGGAAUAGGGAAUGAAUUUGAUGAUUCCAUUUCUAGCAUUUGGAUGAACUUAGGAAUACAAAAUUGAAAUGAUUAUUUGUUUCCAUUCCAAUGUUUGAUAAUAAUAGGAAUGGAAAUGAAAAAGAAAUAAAUUUACAAUAAUAUCCUUACAUAUAAUUUAAAAUAUUUUUUUAUUUUUACUUUGAUUUUAAAAAAAUAAAAUUUGAGAGGUUUUUUGUUAUUAAAUAAUAAGACUAAAAUAUAUAUAUAUAUACUCAAUAAAUAAAAAAUCGUAUAACCUUAAUGCACAAAUAUUCAAUUAUUAUUUUUAUUAAAAAUUUGAAUAAUUUGUCAUGCGUAGUUAUAAAAUUAUAUUUUUCAAAAAAAAAUUAUUUAUUAUAAUAUUUAAAUUCUCAAAGCUAGCAAAUGUUUUUCCUAUUUUCAAAAGAGGAAAUAAAAGAAUUCUAAUUUAUUCUAAUUUUCAACAAGUAUCAUAUCCAAUAAAAUCCAUAACCUUAAAAAAUUUUAAAUAUUCGUUUUUUUUUAUCAAAAUUUUAAAUAAUUUGUCAUGCAAAAAAAGCUAUAGAAUUAUAUUUUACUAAGAAAAAAAAAGAGAAAAAAUAUAAGAACAUAUAAAUUGUCAAAGCUACCAAAUACUUAUUUCUUAUUUGCAAAAAAGGAAAUAAAAAAACACAAACUUCAUUCUAGUUCUCAAUAUAAGUACCAUAUCUACUAAUAAAUAUUAAAAAGAUUAAAUAUUCUAUGUUUGACCUCACAAUCAUGGGUUUUUUAAUCAUUAAAUUUAUUGGUUGUUUAAAUAAUGUCCAUAAUUUGCCUUAAUCAGAUGUCCACAACAGAAUGCCUGGGAAGAUCAAUAGUGACAAUGGUACAGAGCUCAUCUUGACUUUUUCUUGAAGUUGCAGAUUUUAAUUUAACCCCACCUAAAUAUUUUAUUACACUGUUGCUUGAAUCUUUUUAUGUGCCAUUAGUCGGUCAUUCUGGUUAUCUAAUUUAUUGGAUCUGGAAAGGUAUGAAAAUCAUGUUUUAUUGGCAUUGGUGUUGUGAUGUGAUGUGGCUUAGGUCGGGAGAUUUGCAUCAUGCAAACCUCCUUGGGCUGUCUACAUCAAACUUAAAGUUGGGCCGAUAUACAUCAAUAGCAGCUGGAAUAAAAAAAUUAAUCAAUGUUGGUUUCUCGGUGCUUAGUGGUUUGUUUACUGUUAAAUAGCAAUGAUAUGAAGAGAUCUUCACUGUGGCCCAUGCUAAAGUUCCAAAAUGAGCCGGAAACGCAGCAGAUUUUCUGCGAGACGGCAGAAUCCAUAGCUUUAACUAGGAAAGGAAGACGUCGAUAAUAAUAAACAAAGGGGGAAAAAAACCAAAAGUUUUGUUUUUGUUUGUUUUUUUAUUUUUAUUUUUUUCCUAACCAUUAAAAAUUUUCAAUAUUGUAAACACGUGAAAUAGAAAAAUCUUUUUCCAACCAUUUCAAUUUUUCUCUCCAGUUUCCAUUAAUACAAGAUAAAGAAACAUCAAAGAUUCCAAACAUAAAUUAAUAAUAUAAAAAAUUAAUCGAUUUAUAGAGAAGAAGAAACACAUAAAAAAGUAAAAGAAGAAAGAGAAAAUAAGGUAAACCUGAUCGAAGAUGUAGAAGGGAGUUUUCAGAACCUAGUUGCAGCAAACAAUGACGAAUCCUAGAUCCAACAAUCAAAAUGAACAUCCAAAACCCUAUAAAUUACAAAUUGAUUUUUUUUUUUUUUAAAUAUCGUGGAAGGUUUAAUUGAUUCAAUUUGGAAGAAUCACUUGUUGCAGAGAAUUGGAUGAUGAGUGGGUCUCUAGCUUUACAAAGAAGAUAAGAAGUGGAUGAUGAAUGGAUCUCUACCUUUACAAAGAAGAUAAACAUCGGGUUUGAAGAACAAGAUAAGAGGGUAAAAUAGUAAUUUAGGUUAUUUUAUAUUAUCAAAUAGGUUUAAUGAAUCAGAAUACCAUCUACUUUUAAUGAAUGCAAAUCCGACUCAUAAGUUGGAUUUGAUUUCUGCCGGAAUAAUUUUUUAUUUCAUUUCCGCCUUCUUAACAUUUAUCCAAACAUAGGAAUAAGGGAGAAAAGGAAUGAGAUGUCUAUUCCCACUCCCUAUUCCCGUGUACCAAACACCCCCUUAGAGGUAAUCAAAUAAGUGGUUUUAUUCCUCCUGAAAUUGGAUAUCUUUUGAAUUUAUCAUAUCUAGAUCUCAGUGAGAAUCAAAUCAGUGGUUUCAUCCCUGCAGAAAUAGUAAAUUUGAAGAAAUUGGGUCAUCUAGACAUGAGCAAUAACUUAAUAAGUGGAAAGAUACCUCCACAGUUGGGAAAUUUGAAAGAAGUAAAAUACUUCAAUCUCUCCCACAAUAACCUCUCUGGCACCAUUCCUUAUUCUAUUUCUAAUAACUACAGAUGGACAUUAAUUGAUUUAUCAAACAAUCAGUUGAAGGGUCAGUCUAGAGCUCCAGUAAAGGCAUUUGGCCACAACAAAGGUCUAUAUGAUGAAAUCAAAGGUCGGCCACGAUGCAAGAAAAGGCACAAAAUCACACUCAUCAUUGUUGUUUCUUUAUCUACAACCUUGUUGCUUUCAGUUGCAGUCCUUGGUUUUCUCUUCCAUAAACGAAGGAUAAAAAAAAAUCAAUUACUCGAGACAACAAAGGUGAAAAAUGGAGAUUUAUUUUCCAUAUGGGACUAUGAUGGUGUGAUUGCUUAUCAAGACAUCAUCCAAGCAACUGAAGAUUUUGACAUCAAAUACUGCAUAGGCACUGGAGGCUAUGGGAGUGUUUAUAGAGCACAAUUGCCAUCUGGAAAGGUGGUUGCCUUGAAAAAACUUCAUGGAUGGGAAAGAGAGAAUCCAAGUUACCUGAAAAGCUUUGAAAAUGAAGUCCAAAUGUUAUCAAGAAUACAACACCGUAACAUUGUAAAACUUCAUGGCUUCUGUCUACACAAGAGAUGCAUGUUUCUAGACUUCUAGUUUACAAAUAUAUGGAGAAAGGAAGCUUGUAUUGUAUGCUGAGGGAUGAAGUUGAGGUUGUGGAAUUGGAUUGGAUUAAGAGGGUGAAUGUGGUCAAAGGCAUUGUCAAUGCUUUAUCCUACAUGCAUCAUGACUACAACUUGCCCAUCAUUCAUCGAGACAUAUCAAGUAACAAUAUUUUGUUGGAUUCUAAGCUUGAAGCUUUCGUAUCGGAUUUUGGCACUGCAAGACUGUUAGAUCCCGACUCAUCCAAUCAAACCCUUCUUGUAGGCACUUACGGUUAUAUUGCACCAGGUAAACUAGACUAUAUUCUUCACUAGUUUUUAAUUGCUUAUGAAUAUUUUCAAUUGUCACACCCUCAAAAAAAUUCAAAUGUUUUUUAGAGAAUUCAAAAUAUUUUAUAAGUUUUCUCUAUAUACAAAACAUAAAUACUCAUUUUUUUUCCCUAUUUUGUAGAGCUUGCUUAUACUAUGGUUGUGACCGAAAAAUGCGACGUUUAUAGCUUUGGGAUGGUUGCAUUGGAAACAAUGAUGGGAAUGCAUCCAGGAGAACUUGUCACCUCAUUAUCAUCUUCAUCAACUCAAAACACAACAUUAAAGGAUGUAUUAGAUUCACGUCUUUCAUCUCCUAAAAGUACAAGAGUUGCUAAUAAUGUAGCUCUUAUUGUGUCAUUGGCGCUCAAAUGUCUCCAUUCUAAUCCACAUUUUCGUCCAUCCAUGCAAGAAGUGUCUUUGAAACUUGUUUCUACAAAGUCAUUCCCACAACCCAUUAGUGCAAUAUCACUUUUGCAACUAAAAGACGAAGUUAUUUAAAUGGCAUGUGAGUUGAUAUGUAAUUGGAGUGAAGAUGUUUAUUUUCCAUUUUUCUUUUUCAUGCAUGUUAGUAAUGAGAAUUUUAUAGUAUAUGUAUCCCUUCUUUCCUAUUAAUUACUCAAAUGUAGCUUUUCUAUUUGUUUUUCAAAGUGACAAUAGUGUAAUGUGAUGAGAAAAUUAUAUCUGAUUGAUACAUAAUGAUAUGUAAACUUUGAAUGAUUCAUAAUGGUUAAUCUUUAUAAUGAUCCUUCUUUGGAGAAGAAUCCUUCUUUUUCUUUUAUCAAUUUUAACAUAUAUACCAUUUUCUCAAUUUUAAUAUUCUAAUCAAUCAAAUUAGUGAUAUUUGUUGUGAAUGUGAUUGGUAGCUAUUAUCAAAGGCAUAUGAUAAAAUUGGGGAAAAAACAAAUUGAAUAAUUUCAAUAGGAUUGUCUCUACAUGAUGAAGUUAUUCUAUUUAUUUUUAAAAUACUAUUUUACCCAUUUUUCCUAUACAUCCUCUAAAAUUUUGUAUAAAAUAAAAUAAUUUGAUUUUGUAUAAGAACACUUAAAAAUGUUGAUGGGAACGUGAAAUAUUAGGAUGACACUUAAACACCAAAUGACAUACUUGUGAUGCAAUAUUAAGAAAUUAUCAUAAUAUUUUACGAUUUGUCUCUACUAUAUAUGUAGUCACCUAUAAAUGUCAAUUUUAAAAAUAUUUAAUGAUCAAAGAAAAUUAAGUGAGAUAUAAUUAAAAAAAUCUAAAAAUUUUAUUUGCCCAUUCUAACAUAAUAGAUAUUCAUACUACUAAUUUUAUUGAGAUGAGAUACCUAGUUGAUAUAGUGUCCUUGCUUUUACGUAAAAUUAGACAUUAGAUUUACUUAAAUUAUUUUCAUAAUAGUGGCAUAUUUAUAAAAUAUAUGAAACUAAUUAAAUUGAAUAAUUGAGAUAACUAUGAAUAUAAGUAGGACAUUAAUGCUCCGCGUUUUAUUGAAAUAUUAUAGAAGAAGCAUUAUUUCGGUUUCAUAUCUAAAGUUUAUUUUUUUUUUUUUCCAACUCCAAUUGGUGUAUAUAGAUCCGAUUUUGUAGUGAAGGCCGGCAGCCAAUAGGAUUUCCUUCACAGAAAAGAAUGGACACAUGAACUACACAGAAACCAGACCAAGAAAUGAGUGUGGUGUUCUCUCCUGCCUUGGCUGGAAUUCCCACAUCACAACUGCCCUUCUUCACUCCAAAACCAGGUUCUUUUCUCUUUUCCUGUUUCUCAAUUCCCACAAUUCUCAUUCAUACUUAUUGUAAUUUCCCCCUUGUUCAGUUUUAAUAUGUCCGUAUCCUAAUUGAUCUUCAAUGCUCUUAGUCAAGUCCAAGAGUUGCAGAUUGAUUUCUUGGGACGUCAAUUCCAUUACUAAUUGCAGUAAUAAUAGUAGCUAGAGAGCUCAAUUGCCGUUCAAUUCUCAGGUCACAAGGUCAAAUAUUAUUAUUCUUGUAUAAGAGAAAAUAAUUUUAAAUCUUUUUGUUUAAAAAAAAAAAAAAUUAGUUCGGCUUUUUCAAAUAUAUUCAUCCCACAACUUCUUAUCCUAAGUUUCCCAAAAAUAUAUGAUAGAAUAUUUAUCUUAUAUAUUAAAAAUAUUUAAUUACAAAGGUCUUUUAGUCUUUUUUAUAUGGAAAUAAUAUGAAUUGCUUUCUUGAAACAUAAACUUGCAGCAAGGGAAGUGGUUGUCAUGGUCUACAUUUUUUCAGAGCUGGGUGUUCUGCAUUGAAAAGAAUCAGGUAGAUGCCAAUACAAGAGACUUGAGCCGUGUACUGAAAAAGAGUUGCUUGACUUGGUGUGUUUGUAAGAAAAAUGGAUUAUUAUUAUUAUUAUUAUUAUUGCAAUGUGAAAAAUAGAUGUACCAUUACAUUAAAAUGUAAAUGUAGAUUCUAAAAUUUGUCUUUAAUUUAUUUUUAGAUUUUGAACCUAAUUUUAUCCUUAAAUUUCAAUCCAAUUACUUGAUUUUUAUUUUCGAUUUACUUGUAACAUUUAAAUAUUAAUUUAUAUUAUUUUAUUUUAUUUCUAUUUCAUAUUUUAUUUUAUCUUUUAUUUUCUUUUUUUCUUUUUUCUUUUUCCCUUCACUUCCCUCUUCUCACUUAUCCUCACGUACCCACACUUUUACGGGCCUUACCUCUCACGUCAGGAGACACGUCUCCUCUCAUCUCUUUUCCUUUUUUUCUCUCUCCAUUUUUUCUUCCUUUUUCUUCCCCUCAUUUUUUUUUUCUUUCUUUCCCCUCAUUUUUUCCCUCUCUUUCUCUUCUUCCUCUCGCCCAUCACUCUACCCACACCUCCGGCACGGCACCAUCUCCCCUACUCCCCCAUCUUUCUCCAUUUUUUUUUCUCUCUCAACCCAAACCCACUACACUACACCACCUAUUGCGCCAGUCACCGUGGACCAGUGGGCGACGCCACCUCCGACAGCCAACGACCACCUCCCAAUCCCCUCAUCUCAUCUAUCGUCUCAUCGCUUUUUCAUUUUUAUUUUAUUUUAUUUUGUUUUAUUUUCACAACAUACAGCAUCCAACAACCUUCCUUCAUCUCCAAAAAAUGUGUAAGUUUAUUUAUGUAUUUUUUUUUUUUUUUUGCUUUGAUUUCAAUAAUAAUUGUUAGUAAGAUUUGGGAUUGUUAAUUAACAUUAAACUUGGAUCCAUUUGUUAUUGGUGAAAUUUGUUGGAUGAUAUUUAAUAUGAUAAUAUUGUGG